UACGUAGGGGGCAAGCGUUGUCCGGAAUCAUUGAGCGUAAAGCGCGUGUAGGCGGCCAGGUAAGUCCGUUCUGAAAGCCCGGGGCUCAACCCCGGGAGGCGGAUGGAUACUGCUUGGCUCGAGUCCGGAAGAGGCGAGUGGAAUUCCCGGUGUAGCGGUGGAAUGCGCAGAUAUCAGGAGGAACACCAAUAGCGAAGGCAGCUCGCUGGGACGGUACUGACGCUAAGGCGCGAAAGCGUGGGGAGCGAACAGG
rnacentral:rRNA from 1 species